GGACACAAGUUAUGGGAAGAACUUUAAGGAAUGUCACCUCAAGGUCACUGCAGUGAAGGAUCGACCCGAACCUGAGACAACGAGUGACACCAGUCUGAGAGGAGAUCCUCGGGGAUGGAUUGUUCUCUACUGUGCACUGCGACUGACAGCAGCUCUACUGGUUCUUUAUUAAUUUUAUCUUUGCAUUACCAAAAAUAUUAGUGAUUACUACAGAAAUGAUGCAACAAUCAAUGGUGACAUGAAGUGUCAGGGAGACUGUGGGUGUAGAGUCCAACCACAGGAUCAACGGUUCCAUCCCUGCUGACCCGCGUGUUGAUGAGCCCUUGAGCAAGACACUUAACCCAGCAUUGCUCCUGUAGCUGUGACCACAGAGUGAGAAUGGAGUGAAUAUUAGUUACUGACGGCAGGAAGCUGCUCAUCAGUGUGUGAGAGGAUCAAUGAUCUUAUAUAUUUAUAUAUAAGACGUAAGUUGGAGGAAUGGAUGAAAAAGUGGACGUUAAAAGUCAUUUGUGUCAUUGUGUAACUUCUCAACCUGCAUCACUGACAGUGUUUUUUAUUUAUUAUUAUUUUUUUUUUAAAUCUGACUGAGAUUCAAAGGAAAAGUGUUUUUUUGUUCUAGACCUUCAGCUCCUCUAACAGAGACUCUGACUACUGAACAUAUUCUGCAUUAAGCAUCAUGCUGCUCGUCAUCAAAGACUAAUGUUUAUUCUGGUUUCUGCUUCAGAAAGAAAAGGAAAAGCCAUAAAGCCUGUAUGAAGA